UCCUACGGGAGGCAGCAGUGGGGAAUUUUGGGCAAUGGCAGAAAGCAUGACCCAGCGACGCCGCGUGGGGGAUGAAGGCCUUCGGGUUGUAAACCCCUGUCAGGGGGGACGAAAGCCUCUCGGUGUAUAGCCGGGGGGUCUGACGGUACCCCCAAAGGAAGCCCCGGCUAACUCCGUGCCAGCAGCCGCGGUAAUACGGAGGGGGCGAGCGUUAUUCGGAAUUACUGGGCGUAAAGCGCGCGCAGGUGGCGUGGCAAGUGGCAGGUGAAAGCCCUCGGCUCAACCGAGGAAUUGCUUGCCAAACUACCGCGCUUGAGGCCGGGAGGGGGAAGCGGAAUUCCCGGUGUAGCGGUGAAAUGCGUAGAUACCAGGAGGAACACCGGUGGCGAAGGCGGCUUCCUGGCCCGGUUCUGACACUCAUGCGCGAAAGCGUGGGGAGCAAACAGGAUUAGAUACCCCGGUAGUCCACGCCCUAAACGAUGGGCACUAGGCGUCGCGGGUGUCGACCCCAUGCGGUGCCGUAGCUAACGCGUUAAGUGCUCCGCCUGGGAGACCCCCCAAGCU
rnacentral:rRNA from 1 species